rnacentral:rRNA from 1 species
CGCCUCUUGCAAUACUAGAAGGUAUAAGAGGUCCCGCCUGCCCUGUGACUAUAUGUUUAACGGCCGCGGUAUUUUGACCGUGCGAAGGUAGCGCAAUCACUUGUCUCUUAAAUGGAGACCUGUAUGAAUGGCAUAACGAGGGCUUAGCUGUCUCCUUUUUCAGGUCAAUGAAAUUGAUCUCCCCGUGCAGAAGCGGGGAUGAUAACAUAAGACGAGAAGACCCUAUGGAGCUUCAGACACUAAAGUAGCCCAUCUUGAAACCCUAAACAACAGGGCCUCAGCUUAAUGGUCCCUACCCCAUAUGUCUUUGGUUGGGGCGACCGCGGAGUAACGAAAAACCUCCGCAUGGACUGGGUAUACGUUUUCCCACAGCUAAGAGCCGCAACUCUAGCCAACAGUAUUUCUGACCUUCAUGAUCCGGCAACGCCGAUUAACGAACCGAGUUACCCUAGGGAUAACAGCGCAAUCCCCUUUUAGAGCCCAUAUCGACAAGGGGGUUUACGACCUCGAUGUUGGAUCAGGACAUCCUAAUGGUGCAGCCGCUAUUAAGGGUUCGUUUGUUCAACGAUUAAAGUCCU